GACGUAGGGCGCGAGCGUUGUCCGGAUUUAUUGGGCGUAAAGAGCUCGUAGGCGGUCUGUCGCGUCGAUCGUGAAAACUUGGGGCUUAACCCUGAGCUUGCGGUCGAUACGGGCAUGACUGGAGUUCGGCAGGGGAGACUGGAAUUCCUGGUGUAGCGGUGAAAUGCGCAGAUAUCAGGAGGAACACCGGUGGCGAAGGCGGGUCUCUGGGCAACUACUGACGCUGAGGAGCGAAAGCGUGGGGAGCGAACAGG
rnacentral:rRNA from 1 species